rnacentral:rRNA from 1 species
AUUGAACGCUGGCGGAAUGCUUUACACAUGCAAGUCGAACGGCAGCACGGGGCAACCUGGUGGCGAGUGGCGAACGGGUGAGUAAUACAUCGGAACGUGCCCAAUCGUGGGGGAUAACGUAGCGAAAGUUACGCUAAUACCGCAUACGAUCUACGGAUGAAAGCGGGGGAUCGCAAGACCUCGCGCGAAUGGAGCGGCCGAUGUCAGAUUAGGUAGUUGGUGGGGUAAAGGCUCACCAAGCCAACGAUCUGUAGCUGGUCUGAGAGGACGACCAGCCACACUGGAACUGAGACACGGUCCAGACUCCUACGGGAGGCAGCAGUGGGGAAUUUUGGACAAUGGGCGCAAGCCUGAUCCAGCCAUUCCGCGUGCAGGAUGAAGGCCUUCGGUUGUAAACUGCUUUUGUACGGAACGAAAAGGUCCUGGUUAAUACCUGGGGCUCAUGACGUACCGUAAGAAAUAAGACACCGCUAACUACGUGCCAGCAGCCGCGGUAAUACG